UUGCCUCAGUAACGGCGAGUGAAGCGGCAACAGCUCAAAUUUGAAAUCUGGCUCUUUCAGGGUCCGAGUUGUAAUUUGCAGAGGAUGCUUCGGGUACGGCGCCGGUCUAAGUUCCUUGGAACAGGACGUCACAGAGGGUGAGAAUCCCGUACGUGACCGGACGCCACGCCCGUGUGAAGCUCCUUCGACGAGUCGAGUUGUUUGGGAAUGCAGCUCAAAAUGGGUGGUAAAUUUCAUCUAAAGCUAAAUAUUGGCCAGAGACCGAUAGCGCACAAGUAGAGUGAUCGAAAGAUGAAAAGCACUUUGGAAAGAGAGUCAAACAGUACGUGAAAUUGUUGAAAGGGAAGCGCUUGCAACCAGACUUGCCCGCGGGCGAUCAACCGGUAUUCUUACCGGUGCACUCGCCCGUGGUCAGGCCAGCAUCGGUUUGGGCGGCCGGACAAAGUCCCCUGGAAUGUAGCUCCUCUCGGGGAGUGUUAUAGCCAGGGGUGAAAUGCGGCCCGCCCGGACCGAGGACCGCGCUUCGGCUAGGAUGCUGGCGUAAUGGUUGUAAGCGACCCGUCUUGAAACACGGACCAAGGAGUCUAACAUCUAUGCGAGUGUUUGGGUGUCAAACCCAUGCGCGUAAUGAAAGUGAACGGAGGUGGGAACCCCUAAGGGUGCACCAUCGACCGAUCCUGAUGUCUUCGGAUGGAUUUGAGUAAGAGCAUAGCUGUUGGGACCCGAAAGAUGGUGAACUAUGCCUGAAUAGGGUGAAGCCAGAGGAAACUCUGGUGGAGG
rnacentral:rRNA from 1 species